GAAUGAUGAACAUCUAGAUGACGAGUCGGAUCCAGGUUUCCUGUUGACGAUAACCCUUUUUUUUACCAUUCAUGCAUUUCUGAAU
rnacentral:snoRNA from 1 species